GGAGGAAUACCGGUGGCGAAGGCGGCCCCCUGGACAAAGACUGACGCUCAGGUGCGAAAGCGUGGGGAGCAAACAGGAUUAGACACCCUGGUAGUCCACGCCGUAAACGAUGUCGACUUGGAGGUUGUGCCCUUGAGGCGUGGCUUCCGGAGCUAACGCGUUAAGUCGACCGCCUGGGGAGUACGGCCGCAAGGUUAAAACUCAAAUGAAUUGACGGGGGCCCGCACAAGCGGUGGAGCAUGUGGUUUAAUUCGAUGCAACGCGAAGAACCUUACCUACUCUUGACAUCCAGAGAACUUAGCAGAGAUGCUUUGGUGCCUUCGGGAACUCUGAGACAGGUGCUGCAUGGCUGUCGUCAGCUCGUGUUGUGAAAUGUUGGGUUAAGUCCCGCAACGAGCGCAACCCUUAUCCUUUGUUGCCAGCGGUCCGGCCGGGAACUCAAAGGAGACUGCCAGUGAUAAACUGGAGGAAGGUGGGGAUGACGUCAAGUCAUCAUGGCCCUUACGAGUAGGGCUACACACGUGCUACAAUGGCGCAUACAAAGAGAAGCGACCUCGCGAGAGCAAGCGGACCUCAUAAAGUGCGUCGUAGUCCGGAUUGGAGUCUGCAACUCGACUCCAUGAAGUCGGAAUCGCUAGUAAUCGUGGAUCAGAAUGCCACGGUGAAUACGUUCCCGGGCCUUGUACACACCGCCCGUCACACCAUGGGAGUGGGUUGCAAAAGAAGUAGGUAGCUUAACCUUCGGGAGGGCGCUUACCACUUUGUGAU
rnacentral:rRNA from 1 species